rnacentral:rRNA from 1 species
GCACCACAAGAACGCGUGGAGCAUGUGGCUUAAUUUGACUCAACGCGGGAAAUCUUACCGGGUCCGGACACACUGAGGAUUGACAGGCAAUAUCUCAUGGUUAUUAACCCGGUUAUUACAUUUUGUUUAAUCGGUUAUUAAGCAUCGAGUGUUAAAUAUGCUAGUCCUUUCAUGAUUAUGUGAUAGGUGGUGCAUGGCCGUUCUUAGUUCGUGGAGUGAUCUGUCUGCUUAAUUGCGUUUCACUAAGGGCCCAUAAAUUCAAGGUAUGUUAGCUAUCGUCGCUCUAUGGACCCCUUAUACUCGAUUUCGCUUUAAUUAG